rnacentral:rRNA from 1 species
UACGUAGGAGGCGAGCGUUGUCCGGAAUUACUGGGCGUAAAGAGCGCGUAGACGGCGCGGUACGACCGCUGUGAAAGCCCCCAGCUCAACUGGGGAGGGUCAGCGGUAACGGCCGUGCUUUGAGUGCAGGAGAGGGAAGUGGAACUCCGGGAGUAGCGGUGAAAUGCGUAGAGACCCGGAGGAACACCAGUGGCGAAGGCGGCUUCCUGGUCUGCGACUGACGCUGUGGCGCGAAAGCUAGGGGAGCAAACGGG